GACGAACGCUGGCGGCGUGCUUAACACAUGCAAGUCGAGCGGUAAGGCCCUUUCGGGGGUACACGAGCGGCGAACGGUGAGUAACACGUGGGUGACCUGCCCUCAGCUCUGGGAUAAGCCCGGGAAACUGGGUCUAAUACUGGAUAUGACUCCAUGACGCAUGUUGUGGGGUGGAAAGCCUUGUGCGGCUGAGGAUGGGCCCGCGGCCUAUCAGCUUGUUGGUGGGGNGAUGGCCUACCAAGGCGACGACGGGUAGCCGGCCUGAGAGGGCGACCGGCCACACUGGGACUGAGACACGGCCCAGACUCCUACGGGAGGCAGCAGUGGGGAAUCUUGCGCAAUGGGCGAAAGCCUGAUCCAGCCAUGCCGCGUGAGUGAUGAAGGCCUUAGGGUGUAAAGCUCUUCUACCCGGGAAGAUAAUGACGGUACCGGGAGAAUAAGCCCGGCUAACUUCGUGCCAGCCGCCGCCGUAAG
rnacentral:rRNA from 1 species